rnacentral:rRNA from 1 species
CCCGAUGGAGGGGGAUAACUACUGGAAACGGUAGCUAAUACCGCAUAACGUCGCAAGACCAAAGUGGGGGACCUUCGGGCCUCACACCAUCGGAUGUGCCCAGAUGGGAUUAGCUAGUAGGUGGGGUAAUGGCUCACCUAGGCGACGAUCCCUAGCUGGUCUGAGAGGAUGACCAGCCACACUGGAACUGAGACACGGUCCAGACUCCUACGGGAGGCAGCAGUGGGGAAUAUUGCACAAUGGGCGCAAGCCUGAUGCAGCCAUGCCGCGUGUAUGAAGAAGGCCUUCGGGUUGUAAAGUACUUUCAGCGGGGAGGAAGGCGGUGGAGUUAAUAACUUCACCGAUUGACGUUACCCGCAGAAGGAGCACCGGCUAACUCCGUGCCAGCAGCCGCGGUAAU